rnacentral:lncRNA from 1 species
GGACCUGGAAGAAUGGCAAACCAAGCAGGGAAAAUCCAUAAUGCAUUAUUUGCUGUUGCUCUACCGGGGUCACUGCCAUUGUACGAAUUAACAGCACCUGCUGAGGACCGGGUAAUUUAACCAAAGGACUGGAACCCCCGAAAAAGGGCUUCAUACACUGAAUUGAAUUGCUGGAAGAGCAAAUGCUGAUUUCUGCUGGUACCAAGCCAGGGAAGCAUAUCCUGCUAAAAAUUCUGCAGAGGACUGCCAGAAAAUCAGUUUUUACAGGGCAGGCAAUGACCAAAGAUAAUAGAUGGUACUUCUGGGGAAGGAAGCGCUCUUCUCAUCACCCUCUGCUGAUAUAA